rnacentral:rRNA from 1 species
AUUGAACGCUGGCGGAAUGCUUUACACAUGCAAGUCGAACGGUAGAGGGGGCAACCCCUCGAGAGUGGCGAACGGGUGAGUAAUAUAUCGGAACGUGCCCAGUCGUGGGGGAUAACGUAGCGAGAGUUACGCUAAUACCGCAUACGAUCUAAGGAUGAAAGCGGGGGAUCGCAAGACCUCGCGCAAUUGGAGCGGCCGAUGUCAGAUUAGGUCGUUGGUGGGGUAAAGGCUCACCAAGACAACGAUCUGUAGCUGGUCUGAGAGGACGACCAGCCACACUGGAACUGAGACACGGUCCAGACUCCUGCGGGAGGCGGCAGUGGGGAAUUUUGGACAAUGGACGCAAGUCUGAUCCAGCCAUUCCGCGUGCAGGAUGAAGGCCCUCGGGUUGUAAACUGCUUUUGUACGGAACGAAAAGGUCUCUCUUAAUACGGGGGGCUCAUGACGGUACCGUAAGAAUAAGCACCGGCUAACUACGUGCCAGCAGCCGCCGUAA